rnacentral:tRNA from 1 species
AGCAGAGUGGCUCAGUGGAAGCGUGCUGGGCCCAUAACCCAGAGAUCCGAGGAUCAAAACCUCGCUCUGCUA